rnacentral:rRNA from 1 species
CCUACGGGAGGCAGCAGUGGGGAAUUUUGGACAAUGGGGGCAACCCUGAUCCAGCAAUGCCGCGUGAGUGAAGAAGGCCUUCGGGUUGUAAAGCUCUUUUGUCAGGGAAGAAACGGGUGGGGCUAAUAUCCUCAUCUAAUGACGGUACCUGAAGAAUAAGCACCGGCUAACUACGUGCCAGCAGCCGCGGUAAUACGUAGGGUGCAAGCGUUAAUCGGAAUUACUGGGCGUAAAGCGUGCGCAGGCGGUUAUGUAAGUCAGAUGUGAAAUCCCCGGGCUCAACCUGGGAACUGCAUUUGAGACUGCAUGGCUAGAGUGUGUCAGAGGGGGGUAGAAUUCCACGUGUAGCAGUGAAAUGCGUAGAUAUGUGGAGGAAUACCGAUGGCGAAGGCAGCCCCCUGGGAUAACACUGACGCUCAUGCACGAAAGCGUGGGGAGCAAACAGGAUUAGAUACCCUGGUAGUCCACGCCCUAAACGAUGUCUACUAGUUGUCGGGACUUAAUUGUCUUGGUAACGCAGCUUAACGNGUGAAGUACGACCGCGUGGGGAGUACGGUCGACAAAGUAAUUAAAAACCGUACGAAAAGGUAAGUUGGGUCGGCGUGAGACGUAGACCGACGGACGACGACGAGGGAGGAGGGAG